rnacentral:rRNA from 1 species
AGAGUUUGAUCCUGGCUCAGGAUGAACGCUGACAGAAUGCUUAACACAUGCAAGUCUACUUGAACUUCGGUUUGGGUGGCGGACGGGUGAGUAACGCGUAAAGAACUUGCCUCACAGUUAGGGACAACAUUUGGAAACGAAUGCUAAUACCUGAUAUUAUGAUUUUAGGGCAUCCUAAGAUUAUGAAAGCUAUAUGCGCUGUGAGAGAGCUUUGCGUCCCAUUAGCUAGUUGGAGAGGUAACGGCUCACCAAGGCGAUGAUGGGUAGCCGGCCUGAGAGGGUGAUCGGCCACAAGGGGACUGAGACACGGCCCUUACUCCUACGGGAGGCAGCAGUGGGGAAUAUUGGACAAUGGACCGAGAGUCUGAUCCAGCAAUUCUGUGUGCACGAUGAAGUUUUUCGGAAUGUAAAGUGCUUUCAGUUGGGAAGAAAGAAAUGACGGUACCAACAGAAGAAGUGACGGCUAAAUACGUGCCAGCAGCCGCGGUAAUACGUAUGUCACGAGCGUUAUCCGGAUUUAUUGGGCGUAAAGCGCGUCUAGGUGGUUAUAUAAGUCUGAUGUGAAAAUGCAGGGCUCAACUCUGUAUUGCGUUGGAAACUGUAUAACUAGAGUACUGGAGAGGUAAGCGGAACUACAAGUGUAGAGGUGAAAUUCGUAGAUAUUUGUAGGAAUGCCGAUGGGGAAGCCAGCUUACUGGACAGAUACUGACGCUGAAGCGCGAAAGCGUGGGUAGCAAACAGGAUUAGAUACCCUGGUAGUCCACGCCGUAAACG